CAAUAGCGUAUAUUAAAGUUGUUGCAGUUAAAAAGCUCGUAGUUGAACUUCAGACCUGGCCGGGCGGUCUGCCUAACGGUAUGUACUGUCUGGCUGGGUCUUACCUCUUGGUGAGCCGGCAUGCCCUUCACUGGGUGUGUCGGGGAACCAGGACUUUUACCUUGAGAAAAUUAGAGUGUUCAAAGCAGGCCUAUGCCUGAAUACAUUAGCAUGGAAUAAUACAAUAGGACGUGCGGUUCUAUUUUGUUGGUUUCUAGAGUCGCCGUAAUGAUUAAUAGGGAUAGUUGGGGGCAUUCGUAUUUAACUGUCAGAGGCGAAAUUCUUGGAUUUGUUAAAGACGGACUACUGCGAAAGCAUUUGCCAAGGAUGUUUUCAUUGA
rnacentral:rRNA from 1 species